GAUUCUGGCUCAGGAUGAACGCUAGCGACAGGCUUAACACAUGCAAGUCGAGGGGCAGCAUAAAAGUAGCAAUACUUUGGUGGCGACCGGCGCACGGGUGAGUAACGCGUAUGCAACCUACCUAUCAGGAGGGGAAUAACCCCGGCGAAAGUCGGACUAAUACCGCAUAAAACAGGGGCACCGCAUGGUGAUAUUUGUUAAAGAAAAUUCGCUGAUAGAUGGGCAUGCGUUCCAUUAGGUAGUUGGUGAGGUAACGGCUCACCAAGCCGACGAUGGAUAGGGGAACUGAGAGGUUGGUCCCCCACACUGGUACUGAGACACGGACCAGACUCCUACGGGAGGCAGCAGUGAGGAAUAUUGGUCAAUGGGCGAGAGCCUGAACCAGCCAAGUCGCGUGGAAAAGGAAGAAGGAUCUAUGGUUACGUAAACUUCUUUUGCGAGGGGAAUAAAGUGCAGGACGUGUCCUGUUUUGUAUGUACCCUGAGAAUAAGGAUCGGCUAACUCCGUGCCAGCCGCAGC
rnacentral:rRNA from 1 species